UACGUAGGGUGCAAGCGUUAAUCGGAAUUACUGGGCGUAAAGCGUGCGCAGGCGGUCCGUUAAGACAGAUGUGAAAUCCCCCGGGCUUAACCUGGGAACUGCAUUUGUGACUGGCGGACUCGAGUAUGGCAGAGGGGGGGUAGAAUUCCACGUGUAGCAGUGAAAUGCGUAGAGAUGCGGGAGGAACACCGAUGGCGAAGGGCAGCCCCC
rnacentral:rRNA from 1 species